rnacentral:rRNA from 1 species
UACGGAGGGUGCGAGCGUUGUCCGGAAUCAUUGGGCGUAAAGGGCGCGUAGGCGGCCUGUUAAGUCGAACGUGAAAUCCCCGGGCUCAACCCGGGAACUGCGUCCGAUACUGGCAGGCUUGAAUCCGGGAGAGGGAUGCGGAAUUCCAGGUGUAGCGGUGAAAUGCGUAGAUAUCUGGAGGAACACCGGUGGCGAAGGCGGCGUUCUGGACUGUUACUGACACUGGAGGAACGAAAGCCAGGGGAGCAAACGGG